UUGGCUAUUUCCUGCCAACCUUCGUAUGGCAUUUGGCUGAAGUUGAUCGAUGAGCUUCGUUAAUCUGGCAAAGUGGAGCAUUUGUGUUCUUGUUUCCGCUCCGCGUGGAUGUAAUUUUAAAUGUUCCAGUUUUAUCCUUAAUCCUAGGCCUAAUGCAGCUGAAUACAUCUACAUUUUCUGGAAGAGAUAUAAAUUCAUUAUAAAUGAUUCUAGAGAUCCUACAUAAUUUUAAACAAAGGAUUCGGAAUUAGGCCUACUCGAGCAUAAGAAGGAACAAGAAAGCACGAGAUAUGAAGCACAGUGUAAAGACCAUGUAUGGACUCAAAAUGAAAAAAAAUUUAAAACAAGAAAUGGGAUUAAGUAGGAGUGCUAAAAUUUCUCAACUUGCAUUUGAAAUACAAGGGAAGCGACGCAUCCACCGCUUCCAAUGACGGCAUGCCACUGUUGUCUUCAAAAAAAUGAGUUCGGCAUUAUUAGAAAUCCAAACAAUUAUUUAUUACAUUUUACAAAUAAGAAAAAAAUUUUAUACAGGAUAUGAAAUAUUAAAUGAA